ACCUGGGUGGCUCAGUCGGUUGAGCAUCUGACUUCGGCUCAGGUCACGAUCUCACAGCUCGUGAGUUCGAGCCCCGCGUCAGGCU
rnacentral:tRNA from 1 species